rnacentral:rRNA from 1 species
CCAACAGGGAUUGCUCUAGUAACGGCGAGUGAAGCAGCAAUAGCUCAAAUUUGAAAUCUGGCGUCUUCGGCGUCCGAGUUGUAAUUUGUAGAGGAUGCUUCUGAGUAACCACCGACCUAAGUUCCUUGGAACAGGACGUCAUAGAGGGUGAGAAUCCCGUAUGCGGUCGGAAAGGUGCUCUACACGUAGCUCCUUCGACGAGUCGAGUUGUUUGGGAAUGCAGCUCUAAAUGGGAGGUAAAUUUCUUCUAAAGCUAAAUAUUGGCCAGAGACCGAUAGCGCACAAGUAGAGUGAUCGAAAGAUGAAAAGCACUUUGGAAAGAGAGUUAAAAAGCACGUGAAAUUGUUAAAAGGGAAGGGAUUGCAACCAGACUUGCUCGCGGUGUUCCGCCGGUCUUCUGACCGGUCUACUCGCCGCGUUGCAGGCCAGCAUCGUCUGGUGCCGCUGGAUAAGACUUGAGGAAUGUAGCUCCCUCGGGAGUGUUAUAGCCUCUUGUGAUGCAGCGAGCGCCGGGCGAGGUCCGCGCUUCGGCUAGGAUGCUGGCGUAAUGGUUGUAAUCCGCCC